AAUAGAACGGAGUGCUGUAAGCAGUAGAGUAGCCUUGUUGCUACGAUCUGCUGAGGCUCAGCUCUUGUUCUACAGAUUUGUCCUUUUGGACUCUCUAUGAAUGCGAUGGACUGGGGGUCGGAAGCCUCGCAUAGCAUUCAUAGACAGUUUAUUAGUUCAAGAUUGAGUGGUGUUGUCGUGAAUCUGAGAACGACGAGUUGGGGGAUCAAAAACGAGUACAAGUCGAGGUGACUAAAUGUGUGUGCAAGCUAGUAUUAGUGUGUUGAUAAAUGAUUACAAGUCCAGGCUAAUAAAAUGUUUUCGUUGAUCAAGAACGAAGGUUAGGGGAUCAUAAACGUUUACCAAUUUUGUCCAUGUCACAAGUCAUGCAUGUACAGCUGUUGCAUCCAAGUUGCAUCCAAGCAUACCAUACAACAAGUACGCAUGCUUUUUCGUUGGUCUGGCUGCAUGCUGAAGAUGGACUGGGGGUCAGUAAUGGUCUGGGGAGUUCGCAGAGUAUGCGCUGGAGAAUCUACUGGCUCUGUGUGUCAGACGAGGUCUUGUCAUCACUCAUGUGAAGGAGUUGUUUUGUGGAUUUCCUACCCUCAUGUGCAUAGGACCUGGACAAGAGCUACUGGCCAGCGGACAGCAUGUGCAUUGGGUGAAAACCUGAAAGGUGACCAUUAUCUCGUAUGGUGAGGGGACCACCCACUCUGCAUGGUGGGGGUCAGGCCAAGUCUGCCAUCUCACUGACAUGUCUGCUGCCUGGGGGGAGCUCUUCUUAAGCAACCAAAAAACACAACUAACAUCUACGGCCAUAGGAUCCAGAAAAUACCGCAUCCCGU
rnacentral:misc_RNA from 1 species